rnacentral:lncRNA from 1 species
GCUCUUCUCAGGUGUAACGUUUCUCUGGAAAAGCUCUUCCACAUCCAUGGCUUCUGCUGUACACCUGCCCCCUGAAAUUUCAUCGCCAGCUCAGAGUUCAUCUUUGAGACCAGACGUCAGCUGCUGGUUCGUCUCAGAGGUUUUCACAGUCAAACUGAAGUGACGACUUCCCGCUGGAGUCUCGCCUCCGUCUAGUUCAUCUCGUUCCUCGCAGUGAGUGGCCACAUCACUAACUGAAGUGCCAAAAUCAGAAACGUUGAUUAUCUCUCCCUCAUCUCUCCUCCAUUUAUAUUUUUAAGUAGUAAAACCUGUUGUCUUAUCUAUUAUUGUAUUUCUCUUGGGUUUUAUGUUUAGAAAAUAUGCUCAUGCCUGAGUGCAGAUAAAACACACUUCUUAUUAAAUAACGGAGCAUGAUUGCUAAGUUAAGGGUCAGGUUAGAGAUCCAGGAGGAGAUCACGCUGCUGAAAAGUGGCCCUAUCGAGGAAAAAGCCCGAGUGUUUUUAGCAAGCUUACAUAAGUCAAAUAAUGUUUAAAAUCAGCAGAAGUUUAACUGAGCCCUUUUUGAACAUAAAAAUUGUAAGACUUUGAGAAGGAAUCUAUUCUAAAGGACUGUGGGAGUCUGUAAAUGAAAAAUAAGAAAGUUAAAAACAGUUGGAAGCCUGAGGGCCUGAUCUUAUAAUUGUUACAUCUUAGUAUUGUUCACAGUUUUCCAUUUAUGAAAAUCUGAGUUAACAGCUUUGGAAUAAAACAAUAUUUACAUUUAUCUUUUUCUUAAUUUAAAUUAGAACUAAGUUGCUUUCAGACAUUAUCACAGAAAAUAAUUACAGUUUUCUAGACAUCAAAAUAUGCCAUUUUGAAAGCCCUGGUUCACUCUGCUCUUCUGAGAUGCUGGGAGACGUGGGAAUCUUGAGAGAGCAACCUCACGUCAGCAACAUCACAGAGAUUUUCUCUUCCACUUUCUCAGGGUUAUAAAGCAAGAUAAAAAGGACAGUUGUAAGUCCACCAGUCUACUUAUGGAACCGAACAUCUUCACUACCGUGGCCACAGUGGCUUCGGCAGUGCUGCAUAUGCCACAGAUCUGCAAACUCCACUCAACAAGCAGCUACUGAGCGCCUCUCUGUGUCAGGCACACUUCCAGGGCAUAGGAACAGAGCAGGGAGAAAUCAGAGAAAAACGCCUGUCUCCAUGGCCAGGUCGGAUUCGAGUCUCUCUAGCCUGCUGUAAUUGUCAGUAGUUUUAGCUGAAUCGACUCCA